rnacentral:rRNA from 1 species
AGUCAUAUGCUUGUCUCAAAGAUUAAGCCAUGCAUGUCUAAGUAUAAGCAAUUAUACCGCGAAACUGCGAAUGGCUCAUUAUAUAAGUUAUCGUUUAUUUGAUAGCACGUUUCUACUUGGAUAACCGUGGUAAUUCUAGAGCUAAUACAUGCUGAAAGUCCCGACUUCGGAAGGGAUGUAUUUAUUAGAUUAAAAACCGAUGCCCUCUGGGCUUGCGGGUGAUUCAUGAUAACUUCUCGAAUCGCAUGGCCUUGCGCCGGCGAUGGUUCAUUCAAAUUUCUUCCCUAUCAACUUUCGAUGCGAAGGUCUUGUCCUCGCAUGGUUACAACGGGUAACGGAGGGUUAGGGCUCGACCCCGGAGAAGGAGCCUGAGAGACGGCUACUACAUCCAAGGAAGGCAGCAGGCGCGCAAAUUACCCAAUCCCGACGCGGGGAGGUAGUGACAAUAAAUACUGAUACAGGGCUCUUUUGGGUCUUGUAAUUGGAAUGAGUACAAUUUAAAUCCCUUAACGAGGAACAAUUGGAGGGCAAGUCUGGUGCCAGCAGCCGCGGUAAUUCCAGCUCCAAUAGCGUAUAUUAAAGUUGUUGUGGUUAAAAAGCUCGUAGUUGAACCUUGGGCCUGGCUGGCCGGUCCCCCUCACCGGGUGCACUGAUCCAGCCGGGUCUUUCCCUCUGCGGAACCCCAUGUCCUUCACUGGUCGUGGCGGGGAAGCAGGACUUUUACUUUGAAAAAAUUAGAGUGCUCCAGGCAGGCCUAUGCUCGAAUACAUUAGCAUGGAAUAAUGGAAUAGGACGCGUGGUUCUAUUUUGUUGGUUUCUAGGACCGCCGUAAUGAUUAAUAGGGACAGUCGGGGGCAUCAGUAUUCAAUUGUCAGAGGUGAAAUUCUUGGAUCUAUUGAAGACUAACUACUGCGAAAGCAUUUGCCAAGGAUGUUUUCAUUGAUAAGGAACGAAAGUUAGGGGAUCGAAAACGAUCAGAUACCGUUGUAGUCUUAACUAUAAACUAUGCCGACUAGGGAUCGGACGAUGUUAUUCUUUGACUCGUUCGGCACCUUUCGAGAAAUCAAAGUGCUUGGGCUCCAGGGGGAGUAUGGUCGCAAGGCUGAAA